rnacentral:lncRNA from 1 species
ACUACAUUCUUGGUCACUGACAAGAUUUGGACGAGCCCGGCUACUGUAUGAAAUCUCGCAUUUGGUGGUGCUAUCGAAAGGUGGAACCACUCCAGGGAGCUUUCCAACAAGAGUAGCCCUACUACUUUUGAUGGUAGGAGUUCGAGGUUGGGCCACCACCAGAUCGGCUUUGGCCUGCUCAUUUACUCUGGCGGUGGUUAGAAUAGCUUAACGAGUUCUCUGAUGAUCAAUGUGCAUCCAACGAGAAACAUCUGCCCCUCGGGGGUAAUUAGCA